GACGAACGCUGGCGGCGUGCUUAACACAUGCAAGUCGAACGGAAAGGCGCUGCUUUUGUUGGGUGCUCGAGUGGCGAACGGGUGAGUAACACGUGAGUAACCUGCCCUUGACUGUGGGAUAACUUCAGGAAACUGGGGCUAAUACCGGAUAGGAGCUCCUGCUGCAUGGGGGGGGUUGGAAAGUUUCGGUGGUUGGGGAUGGACUCGCGGCUUAUCAGCUUGUUGGGGGGGUAGUGGAUUACCAAGGCUUUGACGGGUAGGCGGCCUGGGAGGGUGACCGGGCACAUUGGGACUGCGAUACGGACCAGACUCCUACGGGAGGCAAAAGUGGGGAAUAUUGCACAAUGGGCGGAAGCCUGAUGCAGCAACGCCGCGUGCGGGAUGCCGGCCUUCGGGUUGUAAACCGCUUUCGCCUGUGACGAAGCGUGCGUGACGGUAAUGGGUAAAGAAGCACCGGCUAACUACGUG
rnacentral:rRNA from 1 species